rnacentral:rRNA from 1 species
GACGAACGCUGGCGGCGUGCUUAACACAUGCAAGUCGAACGCUGAAGCUCAGCUUUUGUUGGGUGGAUGAGUGGCGAACGGGUGAGUAACACGUGAGUAACCUGCCUCCUUCUUUGGGAUAACGCCCGGAAACGGGUGCUAAUACUGGAUAUUCACUGGUCUUCGCAUGGGGGUUGGUGGAAAGGGUUUUUCUGGUGGGGGAUGGGCUCGCGGCCUAUCAGCUUGUUGGUGGGGUGAUGGCCUACCAAGGCUUUGACGGGUAGCCGGCCUGAGAGGGUGACCGGUCACAUUGGGACUGAGAUACGGCCCAGACUCCUACGGGAGGCAGCAGUGGGGAAUAUUGCACAAUGGGCGCAAGCCUGAUGCAGUGACGCCGCGUGGGGGAUGGAGGCCUUCGGGUUGUGAACCUCUUUCGCUCAUGGUCAAGCCGCAACAAUGGUUGUGGUGAGGGUAGUGGGUAAAGAAGCGCCGGCUAACUACGUG